UUUGAAAAUGCUAAGAGAUCUCAGGACUACAGAAGAGAAAUGAUAUUGAAGGUUGAAGGUGACUGCAGUUGGGUUGCUGCUGGAAGAUAUCCUCUGGGACAUCCACAUCAGUGCCUGAUGCCAGCUCUUAGGAGAGAAACAAACAUUGCAGCUGUGUCUUUCAGGAAACUUUGGGCAAAUAGGAACUUGAAACUUACCUCUACUGUUUAUUUAAGAAAUGCUGAGGCAUUUCCUAAUGGUGCCUUCUAAACAGCUUCUUUUCUUGAAGACAUUAUUUAGACAAUAUCUCUGAAGAGCUGAAAUUGAAAGCAAUUUAUGAUUAUUAUUAACUACAGUUUAUGUUACAGCAUCACUAUAAACCUAUGAGAUUUGGUCCUGGAUCUGGGGCCCAUCAGCCAAACACUGUACAGGAAGAGACAAAAAAAGGUGCCUGAUAAGCACAUCAAUACUUUAAGAAAGCAUGAAGUUUUGACAGACCCAGAGUGAAAGGGUAGCUUGUGGCAGGGAGCAUUGUGCUGUGCCCAUAACUAAUGUGGCUCAGCUGUGGUGGGGUGGAAGAGCCAGGAUGCUCUUUUCUGUAUUCAGAAACUGCAGAAGGACCAGGGACAAGCAGUUCUCGAGCUUCACACCAAGGAACCUUUGCUUUCAGAGCCUAGAGCUGGAAAUGACUCCUGAGAAUAACAUUUGUUUUCACAAAGACCCUUUUUUUUAGUGGGAAUACCUCUGCAGGAGGACUGUCAUGGCUGCUCCUGCAAGUAAAUCAAAGCCUGAACACUCAGCUACACUGAUAAGAGGGAGACAGAGCAUGUGCCUAUGUUUCCAGGAAAAGGAGACUCCUGUAGUGGCAAAGACUGGAUGCUGGUCAUCUCGGGUACCAGGAGGACAUCUCCUGCCCCACCUGCAGAUCUGCAGCCUCAGGAAGGGGAUCAGUGUCCUGGUAAUAAAGCGGUGCCUGACAACUGGGUCCAUGAAGCCUCCAAACCAUUGGCACCUGAGCCCUCCCAACACAGGUGACUGAGGAACAAAUCAAGAGAGGGACACUCUGCUGGACCUGACACCUAAAAAAAAGGAAGAAUGUGUCCAGGUUGUGAAGUUCUGGGGGGCAGCCGUGGCUGCAGCAACCAUGAGAUGGUGAAAUUCCAGAUCCGGAGAAGAGGGAGUAAGGCAAGUAGCAGGAUACCAACCCUAGACUUCAGAAGAGCAAACUUUGGCCUGUUCAGGGUUCCGCUUUGAAGAAAACCAUGGGAUAUAGUCCUGCAGAGAAGGAUACAGGGGUCAGUUCUCAAGGAUCACUUCCUUCAAGCUCAAGACCAGCUCUUCUCUGUGUGUAGACAGUCAGGCAAAAGUGCCAGGAGGUGUGCAUGAAUGAAAAAGGAACUCCUUGCAUAUCUGAAAUAUAACCAUAGAGUCAUAGAAUAUCCUGAGUUGGAAGGGACUCACAAAGAUCAUUGAGUCCAACUCCUGGGUCCCCAAAGGACCACCCAAAAAUUCAGGCCACAUGUCUGUGAGAGCAUUGUCCAAGUGCCUCUUGAACUCUGGCAGGCUCAGUGCCGUGAGCACUGCCCUGGCGAGCCUGUCCCACCACCCUCUGGGUGCAGAACCUUUCCCUAACCCCCAGCCUGACCCGCCCCUGUCCCAGCUCCAUGCCGUUCCCUCCGGUCCUGUUGCUGUCCCCAGAGAGCAGAGCUCAGCGCCUGCCCCUCCGCUCCCCUCGUGAGGGAGCUGCAGGCUGCCAUGAGGCCUCCCCUCAGCCUGCUCUGCUCUGCACUGAACAAACCAAGGGACCUCAGCCUCUUUGCAUACGUCUUGCCCUCUAGACCUUUCACUAUCUUUGUAGCCCUAUUAAAAAGGAAGUGGAAGCAGGGACAAAUCACACUGGAGAAAUAUGGAUAGAGACACUAUUUGAGUGUGCAGGGAUGGGAUUAAGAAAGCCAUAACCUGCACUGAGCUGAAUCUUGUGAUAGAUGUGAUGUGGAAAAAAAUAAAAGUUUUCUACACUUAAAACA
rnacentral:lncRNA from 1 species